rnacentral:lncRNA from 1 species
UGGAAGUUAACGCAUAAGGGAGCAUGUACCAUUCUUCAUGGGUCUCCUUUUCUGACUCAGGAACCAUUAAGGCUUGGUUGGCGAAGUAUCCCUUCUUUCCUUCCUUCCUCUUCUCUUCCUAACCAUAAAAGACAAUAAAACCUUUAAACUCUGUUACUGCUAUUCCCAAGUCUCUCUAUAAAUUCUCUGGAAAAGGCAAAUUCCUGUUGAAUUCAAAUCUCUUGCUUUCUUUUUCUUCUUCUUACUCUUUCUAGAAAAUUUUCAAUUCUUCAGAUUCUUCUUGAAGUGCCCAAUUCCCAAUUUUGUUUUCAUUUUUUCUUAUCUUAAUUUUGGAGGCAAUAAUUUGUUGCUAAAGGAUUGACAUAAAGUGAAAAUGUUUAACGGAAUGAUGGAUCCUGAGUUAAUCAAACUCGCUCAGGAACAAAUGAGUCGCAUGUCUCCGGCCGAGUUAGCCAAGAUCCAACAACAGGUUUCUUUUUCUUUUCUAAUGCUUGCAAUUUCUGUCGAUUGUUUGUUUGGAAUUAAAUCAAUUCAGGGUUAAUUUGAUAGUUGUUGCUACCGUUUGAAUUAUUUUGUAUGUCAAAGCCUUCAUCUUCUAUUUCUUUUUUUUUUUGGUUUUUUCCCCUUUCUAUAUUAAGAUAUGAGUUAAUCAUAGAUAGUAGUUGGCUGCUGGAAUAAUGUAUAGCUUACUCAGGAAAGUGGAUUCCUAGUGAAGUGGUUCGUGGAAAUGUAAAUUACCGUGUUCAAUUAGAAAUAAUGGUUUCUUUGUGAUGUACUAUUCUUGUAUUUGGUUAGCCUAGGAAGAAAGCGUUACAGGUGGGUGGCCUGUCUUAGAGAUGUUGAGAGGGAAAGGAAAAGGAGGGUAAGACAGUUUCAGUGCAUUCGGUGACAAAAAGAGAAUUAGGGCUUUGUUAAUACAGAACAGGGAAAGAAAGAUGUUGAUGGUGGUGGAGACGAAAAGGAAACGGUGCGUUUUGGUGAGGUUGAUUAAAUUAAGGAAAAAAUAUAGAUUAGUCCCUAACUAUAGUUAAAAUUAAUAGAUGAGAGCUUUAAUUUUUAAAAUAACUCCAAUAUCCCAAAAUUAUAAUUUCAUUGACAUUUUAAUCAUUUGAUUCAGGACAAAUGUAGCAAAACUAAAAAAUAACAUUAUCUUAUCGAGCCGAACUCGAUUUUUAAUCCUUACAUUCAAAAUAAAUGUAACAAAAGUCAAAUUCAAGGACAAUAUUACCUUAGAUGAAAUAUGAGAUGUCGAUGAAUUGGUAAUAAAUUGAGACAGGAACAUGGAAUGGAAGAACUGGCUUUCUAUUCAAAGGCUUGAGGGGCAAACAAGUAAUUUUAGUGGAAGUUAACGCAUAAGGGAGCAUGUACCAUUCUUCAUGGGUCUCCUUUUCUGACUCAGGAACCAUUAAGGCUUGGUUGGCGAAGUAUCCCUUCUUUCCUUCCUUCCUCUUCUCUUCCUAACCAUAAAAGACAAUAAAACCUUUAAACUCUGUUACUGCUAUUCCCAAGUCUCUCUAUAAAUUCUCUGGAAAAGGCAAAUUCCUGUUGAAUUCAAAUCUCUUGCUUUCUUUUUCUUCUUCUUACUCUUUCUAGAAAAUUUUCAAUUCUUCAGAUUCUUCUUGAAGUGCC